GCGUUUGUAGUCCAAGGGUUAGGAUAAUUGCCUUCCAAGCAAUAGACCCGAGUUCGACUCCCGGCAGAUGCA
rnacentral:tRNA from 1 species